rnacentral:rRNA from 1 species
UGGGGAAUAUUGGACAAUGGGGGGAACCCUGAUCCAGCAAUGCCGCGUGUGUGAAGAAGGCCUGAGGGUUGUAAAGCACUUUCAGUGGGGAGGAGGGUUAUUUGGUUAAGAGCUGAGUAAUUGGACGUUACCCACAGAAGAAGCACCGGCUAACUCCGUGCCAGCAGCCGCGGUAAUACGGAGGGUGCGAGCGUUAAUCGGAAUUACUGGGCGUAAAGGGUGCGUAGGUGGUUGCGUAAGUUAUCUGUGAAAUCCCCGGGCUCAACCUGGGCAGGUCAGAUAAGACUGCAUGACUCGAGUAUAGGAGAGGGUAGUGGAAUUUCCGGUGUAGCGGUGAAAUGCGUAGAGAUCGGAAGGAACACCAGUGGCGAAGGCGGCUACCUGGCCAAAUACUGACACUGAGGCACGAAAGCGUGGGGAGCAAACAGGAUUAGAUACCCGGGUAGUCC